GACCAGUAUACUGGUAGUGGUAAUUCCUCAUUUUAUCACUGAAUAAUGGAUGAGGAUAAGCAAGAAGGAGAGAAAAGGAAUGUACCCCAUAAGUUAAAAUGGAUACCAAAGGAGCAGCGCAGUUCCUUAUUUGCAAGACUACGCACAAUGCUGCAAACUCACGGUUAUCCCGCAAAAGGAGACAAUUGUAGAGUAUGGAAGUGUGCUAGUGGCACCUCA